rnacentral:rRNA from 1 species
CCUACGGGAGGCAGCAGUGGGGAAUAUUGGACAAUGGGGGAAACCCUGAUCCAGCGACGCCGCGUGAGUGAAGAAGUAUUUCGGUACGUAAAGCUCUAUCAGCAGGAAAGAAAAUGACGGUACCUGACUAAGAAGCCCCGGCUAACUACGGCCCAGCAGCCGCGGUAAUACGUAGGGGGCAAGCGUUAUCCGGAUUUACUGGGUGGAAAGGGAGCGUAGACGGCAGCGCAAGUCUGGAGUGAAAUGCCGGGGCCCAACCCCGGAACUGCUCUGGAAACGGUGAAGCUGGAGUGCAGGAGAGGUAAGCGGAAUUCCUGGUGUAGCGGUGAAAUGCGUAGAUAUCAGGAGGAACACCGGCGGCGAAGGCGGCUUACUGGACUGUAACUGACGUUGAGGCUCGAAGGCGUGGGGAGCAAACAGGAUUAGAUACCCUAGUAGUC